GGAUCUGUUCUUGGCCUUAAACUAUUUAAUGUUUUAAUCAGUCACCUAGAGGAAAACAUAAAAUCAUCACAGAGAGUUUUCAGAUGACACAAAAACUCGUAGGGGAAGGCACAUCCUGGCUCAAAUUCACAGGUGAUUAAGGUUGUCUACAAUGGAUGCAGCCUAAGCCUUCUUCAAACCCCUUCUACAUUUCUCAUCCACCGGGUAGAAACUCUCCCACCAUAUGCUCAACAGGCAACCAGGUGUUCUCCGUCUGCUCCCUCUGGUAGAUCUGAGAGGGGCAGAGCAGCCAGGAGGAGCCGACAAACAGCGGUGGUAGUGGCGGCAGCAGCAGCAACAAAUGGGAUCUACAAGGACAGAAGGUCAGAGGGGCCCAGUACUAGCCUG